UCUAGAAUGGCCUGUGCUGUGCUGUGCUUGCUCAUUCCCAGGGAUCGAACUCAGGUCUCCUCCAUUGCAGGCGGAUUCUUUACCAAUUGAGCCACCACAGACACCCCAAAACAGGGAUACUAACCAUCAUGUUCACCGUUUUAUCUUGAAUCUCACACACCGAGUGCACAUAAUAGAUGCUGAAAAUAAACAUUGCUGGAAUUAAUCAACAGGAAAACAAAGCAGCUUGGGCCACCAGAUGCAGUGAUCUCAACUGCAAGAAAACUCAUUUUUGAAUCCCAAACUGAGUUACUUCCAGGCUCGGCUAUUUCUCAGCCAAGGCUCACCGUCGGCCAGAAGAAACCACAGCCCUUUCAGAAGGGCCAGACCUGCGGAAUGAGCACUGAGGAGCGGCCUGGGAUUCAGGGACAAGAUAAGGGCUUUCCUGGGACAGCUGGGAUCUGAGAAGGAAGCUCCCCCUUCCCUCAGGCAUGGCUGGAGGCGUGCGUCCCCAUCAGCGGGAGUGAGGACAAGGCUGGAGCCAAGAACAACCUGUAGUUCUGCACACAGCCGCUGGAGUUGCCUGCCGAAUGUGCUCCCAAAGGAAACGUCAGAGUCAGCAGGAGCUGAGUGUGGCUGGGGCUUCGGAGGAUGGCCCAGCAAACUCGACAAAGUCGAAAUGCCACCUCAUUCACCGCCUCAGUGACAUUUGGAAUUUAGAAACCUGCC
ensembl:lncRNA